rnacentral:rRNA from 1 species
UACGAAGGGUGCAAACGUUGCUCGGAAUCAUUGGGCGUAAAGAGCGUGUAGGCGGCCAGGUAGGUCGGUUGUGAAAACUGGAGGCUCAACCUUCAGAGGUCGACCGAAACUAUCUGGCUAGAGUCCGGGAGAGGAGAGUGGAAUUCCUGGUGUAGCGGUGAAAUGCGCAGAUAUCAGGAAGAACACCCGUGGCGAAAGCGGCUCUCUGGAACGGUACUGACGCUGAGACGCGAAAGCGUGGGGAGCGAACAGG